GUUGCAGCAGUCACGGUUAGUUCUACCUGGAAUCCUUGGGAUGUUUUUAUCCUAAACCAUACCCUUACCUAACCAUUUCAAAAAUGUCAAUUUGGGACGUCGCAAGGAUUCCAUGUAGCAAGGACAUUGCAUUGAGAUAUCAGGUCAAGAGGAUGUGUCCUACAAUAUCCAUGAUAGGAGGGUGUUUGCCCCCCUUUGGCCAUGCAUCGUGGGCAUCGAUGACAACUGCCAAUACACAACAACCCAGAGUCCAGAACCAGAUCCUGAGGACAAACAUCCUUCUGCAUCAAGGUCCUUUCUCAUGUUCAGACAGACUAUAUCCCACUACCUAAACUUGCGGUCAGCCUACAGCUAAUUCAUCCCUGCAACAGACUGAGCUGACCACCAUGCACUCUGAGGAUGGAUCUACGGUCGACGACAUCUUCUACUCCAAGGCUGGGCAAUUCUGGUGGAGGUCAACGGCAGAGCGGAGGUUUGAAGCUGCUUGGUCGUCUCUCCCCCCAAUUAGAGGAGGAUCUCUGGUCAAUGAAAGGUUUACCCAAUUAAUUGUUCCCUUCGGACCAUCUCAGUCUCCUGGCCAGGUUCCAGCUGGACUGAAACCCUGUGUAAUUUGGGCUGUUUGUGAUCAAUUAAUAAUCAGGAGGACCGAGGUCAAGUAUUUAAAAAUGUUUGUUCAAACUGUACAUGAUUUUCCCAUGGUGUGAUUCCAUGUUUUAUAAGUUCAUAAUUGUACUUAAUUGGUUCCUUGGGCUCACAUGGUUGUUUCCUACCUGAAGAGAAACUACUCAUCCCAAGGUCCAGAGGGGAUGGGAUGUCCUCUGAAGAAUUGUUUUUGUUUACAUGAAGAGAGAGCAAAACAAACCAAAAAGGUUGAAUUUAGUUCAAAGUUGGAAUUUAUUUGACAAAUUCUCUUACUGUUGAGAUUUGAAUGCAUGAAGCUUUUAGAUUUUAAAAGUUAAUAUUUUGUGAACAAACUGAGUAAACAAU
ensembl:lncRNA